GCUUGUUGCUCGAAGGAAAGUCGGCGCUAGUGUUUAAAAAAAAAAAAAAAAAAAAAAAAAAAAAAGUAUCGCGUUAACCGUAAAGGACGUGCUCUCGCUUCAAAUGCUGUUCGGACGAUAAAAUGUAUAAUAGUGCGUCGAGUUUUUAAUUUGAUGUUUAAAAUAAACUCGUUAGUAUAUAUAAAUCUCUCUAUAUAUUCGCUCCCAGUUUGGCUGUACUGGGUGGGUUGCCGUGUCGGCUCGUGACUGUCGGUGAGGCUAGCGGCGAGAUUUCGUGGCGAUGAGCGUUCAACAGCAGGAAGUGCUUUUCAGGAAGCAGGAGCCAGAGGAAGGCAGAUACAGCGAGUUCAGCCGUUUUCAUCAGGGCAGAUCAGUACUGGCCUAAUUUAAACACAACGCCUCUGGCUCAGAAAACUCAAUUACAGCAUCAUUUGACCAUUUCAGCAUAACCAGCGAUCAUGCAUUGGGGCUUUUAGCAUGAUCCAUAAUUUCUAUUUUAAGCCAUAUUUUGAGAACCUUAAGCAAGAAGUACCAGUUCUUUUCCACAUUUGAAUAGGGAUAGUGAAGAAUUUGAUACAAUAUGUUUCAAGGUUAAAGGGGAUAUUAUAUGUAUCUCAUGUCUGAUCUGUACCUAUUUAACACAAUAUAGACAAGCCAAAGAAACUGCAUGGCAUCAUUCAGUUAUAGACCUUACAAUAGGUA
ensembl:lncRNA